rnacentral:misc_RNA from 1 species
GCAAACUUGGUCAUUUAGAGGAAGUAAAAGUCGUAACAAGGUUUCCGUAGGUGAACCUGCGGAAGGAUCAUUAACAAAUUGUCCACAAUAAUGGAUAAUUUUAUCCAUAUCCACCUUGUGUGAACCAUUGAAGUGUUUGUUUGGCAGGCUUUAACACUCUCUGUUGAGAGCUGUGUGGGCAAGGUGCUGCCGUGCAGUUGCCGCUGCCCGGCCUGCCAAUUUUCUUAUUUUAAACAUGUCUAAAUAUCGUGACUGAAAUACUACCAAUUAAUAAUAAAUACAACUUUCAACAACGGAUCUCUUGGCUCUCGCAUCGAUGAAGAACGCAGC